CUCCUGCCUCAGCCUCCUGAGUAGCUGGGAUUACAGGUGUGUGCCAUAAUUUUUGUAUUUUUAGUACAGACAGGGCUUCACCACAUUGGUCAGGCUGGUAUCAAACUCCUGACCUCGUGAUCCGCCUGCCUCUGCCUCUCAAAGUGCUGGGAUUAUAGGCGUGAGCCACUGUGCCUGGCCAAUUCAAGAAACUUCUUUUCCACAUCAAACAUUUGAACCUUAAAUACUUUCCCGGACCAGCCCUUAUACUUUCUAACCUGCUCCUUGACUUUCUUUUAUCCCUUUUUCUCAUGGAAUUUUACAAUCCGCCCCCUCCCCAAGUUCAGCCUCUGGAGGAAUUUAGAGCUUCCCUCAGAGCUCCUUGUGAUUCUAGAGUGUGAUGGAGACUGUGAAGUGCUGCUACGGUCUCCUCCUUCAGAAUGAGACACUUAUUCACCCUCCUCACCUCAUUAUUCCACGCUCUACUACUAGAAGUUCUACUGGCAGUCAGCCCUCUCUGUGAUUGUUCUCCGCAGAAGACAGCCACCUCGCCAAGAUCGUGUCUCCCCUUUCUGAGGAAGCCCAGAGCUGAUGACUGGCCAUAUGGAUAUAAAACGCACAACCCCCUCAGGGGAACUCCGACUCGGGCAUCUCUGAAGGACUAUGGGGUCCAGUGCAGCACAGAGUGGGACAUUACUUUCUGCUGGGAAGACCCACUUCCCAAUCAAGGGAGCAUUUGGUCUGAGUCCUGAAGGGUGGUUGGUUAAGUGGCAAAUACGCAGAGCUGGAGAAUGAAGGAUUUUUUUUUUUAAUACUUUAAGUUCUAGGAUACACGCGCACAAUGUGCAGGCUCAGCUUUCUCAUCACUGAACUGGAGAUACAGGAGUUGGAGACUUGGAAUCCCCUUUGGUGCAGAAACUAUUCCUUCAUGAGAAGAAGUCCUUAAAUAGGCUCUUUAGACAGGAGGCCACAUGUUGAAGGCAGCAGGGUCACAAGAUGGAAGAACCAGGGUCCCAGUAUCAUCGCUCCCUGCUUCAAGCUGCCAGGGGCAGCCUAACCCACAUGGCAUUAUGACAUAAGAAACAAAGUAACUAUUGUUUUAUUAAAUCAAUGAGAUAUUGGGCUUCUUGUUAUAGCAACUAGUAUAAAUUGCCCUGACUGAUACAUUAUGGAUUUAGAGUGCACUGUACUACAACUGUUUGUUGUAUUUUCAAAAUUGUGGUAUAACUGACUUACAAUAAACUUCAUAUAUUUAAA
rnacentral:lncRNA from 1 species